UACUGAAACUUCAGUAAGCACCUAGACAG
rnacentral:piRNA from 1 species